rnacentral:lncRNA from 1 species
UUGUUCCACAUGUUCUAUUUAUUAGAGUGUCAGUGUGGUCACAGGAGAGUUCCCUGGACAGCCAGGGACCCACAGUCACAGCAGACAUCAAUGUAUUACAUCAUUAACGUAUUACAUCAUCAUGGGCCAUUUAUAGCUCUACGGUCUAAUCUGGCCUUCAUGGGAGUAAAACACACUGAGUUUCAAUAGUCUGAAGCGCAGUCGUCUCCUUGCCUCAUCUCCUCGCCUCCCCUCCUUAGUCUGCACUGAUCUGAAAACUCAUGAUAGAUGAGAACAAUAUGUCCUUUUAUGUCAGUGAAGUAGACUGUUGAGAUGCAGGCACAGUGACAUUACAGUAAGGAAUCAGAGAGCACAGUGGUAAAUCUCCAUCACAGUGAGUUGGGACCAAGCUGGGUAAGGCAAUAGACAGUGGUGGAAAAAGUACUCAAUUGUCAUACUUGAGUAAAAGUGAAGAUAAUAGAAAAUGACUUUAGUAAAAGUCUAAAAGUAUCUGGUUUUAAAUGUCCUUAAGUACAGUGGUGGAAAAAGUACUCAACUGUCGUAAAAAAAAGUCAAUUCAUUUACAAAUGCAGUAUUGUAUUUUCGUGAGUCCGCCAGAUCUGAGGCAGUAGGGAUUACAACGCGUUAUAUUGAUAGGUGUGUGAAUUGGACCAUAUUACUGUCCAGCCUGAGCAUUCAAAAUGUAACUUGUAAUUUUAGGUGUCAGGGAAAAUGUAUGGAGUAAAAAGUACAUUGUUUUAUUUAGGAACGUAAUGGAUAGUCAAAAAUAUAAAUAGUAAAGUACAGAUACCCCCCAAAAAUGACUUAAGUAGUAUUUUAAAGUAUUUUUACUUAAGUACUUUACACCACCGGCAACAGGAAUAGCAAUCUCCUGGCUCUGGGCUCAGCUUGGCGUCAUAUACAAAAGGCAAGGGUGGAGUGGAACUAGGCAAACAUAAACAGGUUAGAUGGGAGGGGUGUGGGAGUGAUUCAGCAUUUGACUAACUACAUGUAACCUUUAUGUCAGACACUAUGCUGUUGAUAUACAGUAUAAUCUGUAUAGUCAUCUGAUUGGUUAGCAGUGCUUUAUAUUUGCCAUAACAUGUAAACAUCUGAGUGUAGCUAGCACUACUAACUUCUUCAUGCAGGAGGCUUCCUAAUACAACGUUCUAGUAUUGGAUUGUAAAAGUAUAGAAAGUAUAAAGAAAUAAAAUGUAAUUUAACGUUUUUAGACAGACAGUAUAAAAUAUAUACAUAUACGUAUCUAGAGAGAGUAGUGCAGUAUGCACAUUCCUCUCUCUCUCUCUCUCUCUCUCUCUCUCUCUCACACACACAUCCACACGCACGUAUACACACACACACACACGUACACGCAUUCACAAGCACUUACACACAUACACAAAUGCAUGCAAGUCCUGAAGAAAGGUUCAGAUCAAUAAUUAGUACUAAACGCAGCUCUACUUCUAACAGACGUCUCCUGAAGUGGUUGUAACAUCUUAGAACGUCUCUAGAAAGCUUUAAAAAAAGAAUAAAAAAAAUACUAUUUUUAAAAUACUAUGUGCAAUAUAGAGCUGCUGCUGUUUGGCUGAGCCAAAGCUCUGAUAUAAAAUACAUUUCUGCUCUCAUGCAUAUACACUGUACAUACCACAAAACUCAGACAGGGAACACACAUCAGAGCUGGAGGCCAGGACAUUACCCCACAUGUCCUUUGGGGGGGGGGCGUGCGUGCGCGCAUGUGUGUAUUGUAUUGUGUGAUAUUGUGGUGCAGGGGUGUCAAACUUUCGGCACAGUUUAAUAUAGUAUGUCUUAUAUAUAAAAAUGUUUGAAAUAUAACCACUUUUCACUGUGGCCCUCCAGAUCUGGGUGAAACCCCAAUGUGGCCCUUGGCCCUCCUGGUAUAGUGUGUGGGUAGUGAGUGACAGUGUGUGGAUCUUUGAGCCUUCUACAGCAUAUUUAGGUCCAGGUAGUGCCCUCCCUGCCUGGUCAGGAGAGGGGGGAAGGGCAUCAGAGCAUCACCGCUGCUGGACUGACCAAUCAUACUGCUCAGUCCAGGCAAUGCCUCCAUAGGACUCUACAGAGAGAGGGAGAGAGGCAGGGAGAGAGAGAGGGCGAGGAAGAUAGAGAGAGGAAGUGAAAAGAGAGAAAACGUCAGUACAAGGAAAGGAGUCCAUGUGGUUUGAAGGUUUCUUGUCCCAGCACCAGAGGAUUCCAUCACCUAGUCCACCAGCUCCCCACCUGACACUAGUACAGCAGUGAUAACACUAUCUAGCACACUACAACGCCCCAGGGAGGAAAGGGGAACACACCAUGGAAGGGCUGAGUCAGACAGCACCAGGUAGAAAUUGACCAUAUAGAACAGGUACAGUUCUAGGUUCCACCAGAGAAUGUGGUUAGAGCGUUGGGCCUGUAACCAAAAUGGUUGCUAGGUCGAAUCCCCGAGCUGACAAGGUAUAAAUCUGUCGUUCUGCCCCUGAACAAGGCGGUUAACCCACUGUUCCUUGGCCAUCAUUGUAAAUAAGAAUUUGUUCUUAACUGACUUACCUAGUUAAAUAAAAUAAAAAUCUGAUCCUAGAUCUGAGGUUAGGAUUGGGUGUGUGGUGUAUUCUGAUCCUAGAGGUUCGGAUUGGGUUUGUGGGGUAAUCUGAUCUGCACUGUAAAAAUACUGAUGUCAAGAAGGAAAUCAGCUGGAAUAGGAUUGUGAGUUUUCUCAACAAGAAUGUUGUUUAACAAACUCACAAUCCUAUUGCAGCUGGUUGCCACAGAUCUAGGAUCAGAUUAUCCAACUCACUCAAUCCUAACCACAGAUCUAGGAUCAGAUUACCACACACACACACACACACACACACACACAAUCCAAAUGUGAACCAUCAGGGGGUAAAAGACAUCUGAUCCUGGACCAGUGGUUGGGGGGGAACUUCUACUCUGUGUCCCGAUCAACACAACAUUCUCUGUUGGAACCAUCAUCUUUUUUUACAGUGUGUGGUUUGGGGCAUUAAAAUCCCCCCUAGCUAGACUCUACCCCGUGACCCCCUAGUAACCCGGAAUCUCAAACCACACCCACAACCACGUCGUCCCGGAGACGAAGGAAAGGAGAAACACGCCCCAUGACCCUGUCAGCCAAUCCUUACCUUCCGCCUGCCUAGGACACACCCCUUAAAUACACACCCACUCUUUGGGCUGCAUGAGCAGGGUCCGGGAGGGAUCGUGAUCGUGCAUGUUAGCAUGAGCGUGCACAAGGCCAUCCUCAGUAGCGUACUAUAGUGUUGAAGGGGACAGAGACACAGCGGACUGAGACAGAGACAGGCUGGGCUGUGUGUUCAGAAGAGUCAGCCUUUACAAGAUGCUUACUGCUGAUUUAUCUACAGUAUAUAGUAUCACCUCAACUUCCAAACUAAUGUUCAUGAGCACAGGCUGAACUCACUGGCUAUUUCCUAGUGUAUCAGUGAGGAGCAGCCUCUUGUAAAUCAAGUCCAUGCAGGCAGUGGAGAUCCACCCAACAGAAUGCCUGUGGGUGUUUGUGAGGGAGGGAACAGAACAGGAAGGGUAGACUUGACUAACUUGUUUGAUAGCCUCCAGGCAGACACAGUGGAUACCUGACAGUGUAGUACACUCCUCCAUUAGCAGAUUUGAAUACUUCCUUUGGAUCGACCGUGAGACAUGAGAGGACACGGCAACACAUACUAUACCGGUCACCUUACACACACACACACACUUUCUCUAACACACAUGAACGUACACACAGUCUUGUAUAUCUAAGCGUGUGGGGACACACAACUCAGUCUCAUUCAAAAUCCUAUUUUUCCUAACCCCUAAACCUACCCUAACCUUAACCCUAACCUUAACGCCGAAACCUAACCCCUAACCCUAAAACUAACCCUAGCUCCUAAACCUAAACCUAAUUCUAACAUGCUGACCAGACCGGGCAUGUCGCGUGCGCGAGCGUCGCAAAAUAAAUUUAGAAAUCCAUGUUAUUCAAUUAUUGCACCCACACUGCUCGCGCGCGCCAACGAGCGUCUGCGAUGCCAAGGGCUAAAAUAGAACUCCUUUCUAUUUCUGACGCAGAUCGCGCUGCAAGUCCUGCCUCUCCCAUCUCCUCAUUGGUUUAUAGAAGCAGGUACCCACGUGCCAUCUCCUCAUUGGUUAUACCCACAUGGGUGAUUGAAAGACGAACUGUUUUGCUGGUUGUCGUGGUAAUACUAUGAAAGUGUAGAUGCCAAUCACCAUAUAAAUUCAAAGAUGAAAAAGCCUGGAAGGAGGAGAGAUGACUAGAAACAUUUACAUUUACAAUUCGGUUGGCCGUUUUAUGUGUGGAUUAAUUGUCGGAGUAGAGGACCUUGUGCAUUUCAGGUAAAAUAACAACUCAAUGUUUAUAUCCCAGGACAAAUUAGCUAGCAACAGCAAGCUAGCUAAAUAGGACAAAUUAGCUAGCAAGUGCAAGCUAACUAGCUAAAUUGCCAUACAUGUUUAAUGCUUUUCGACAUGUCCCCAAAUUAAUGUCAUUGGUUCAGAGUUUGUUUUGCUUUUUUAACCUGCGUGUCGUGAUCGCGUUUGGUGUAGGGGGACAAAAUAAAUGUAUGCACGAUGGUGCACGUGCGCAGCCGGUUUGGGUUCCGUGUUACCCUAACAAUAAACCUCCUAGAAAUAGCAUUUCACCUUGUGGGGACUAACAACAUGUUUGUUUACUAUUCUUGUGGGGACUUCUCUUCCCCACAAGUAUAGUUAAACACGUCCAAGUGCACACACACACACACACACACACACACACACACACACACACACACACACACACACACACACACACACACACACACACACACUGUUUACCUGGUAUCCCUGAAUGGUGUUGAGCAGUUCUUUAUAGGCGAGGCCAUGCAUACGGACCACUCCCCCAGGGGAGGGCAGGGGGGUGGGGGAGGGGUAGUACCCUAUAGUGUUGGGAGAACCUGGGGGGCUGGAGAGAGGGAGGGGAGAAGAGAGGAGAGGAGAGAGAGAGGGUGAGAAGAGAGGAGAGAGAGAGGGAGAAGAGAGGAGAGAGGGUGAGGAGAGAGAUAGGGUGAGAAGAGAGGAGAGAGAGGGAGAAGAAAGUGUGAAGCGAGGAGAGAGAGGGGGAGAGGAGAGAGAGAGGGAGAAGAGAGGAGAGAGAGGACAGAGAGAGGGAGAAGAGCGUGAGAAGAGAGGAGAGAGAGAGGGCGAAGAGAGGAAAGAGGGAGAAGAGAGUGAGAAGAGAGGAGAGAGAGGGUGAGAAGAGAGUGAGGGGGAGAUAUAAGGAGUGAGUUGGAGAGGCCAUAACAAACAGAGCAUUAUACAUCCUGAAAUGACAUGAGGUGUGUGUGCUUAGAGUCAUACAGUAAAUAUCUGUUAAUAAGGAAAAAACACACAAUUUCACAUGUGGAAAAUCAUGUGAAAAUGUGUUUUUUGUAACACUUCAUGUGUUUUCACUUGU